CACGCUGAGGAGGCACAAAGUGCUUCAGGAGCUGAGUCCGACUGAGGCAGAAGCACAGGAUGUGCUUAUUCUUUCUCCCUCACCGAUUCCUUCCAUGUGAUUUUGGAAUAAAACCUUUCAGGGCCCUUAAGAAUAAUGGAAAAUCUACUCUGCCUGUGCUCUGUAAAUGGAACAACAAAGCCUGGAUGACAGCACAUCUGUUUAUAGCAUGGUUUACUGAAUAAGCCUACUGUUAAGAUCCACUGCUCAGAAAAAAAGAUUGCCUUCAAAAUAUUACUGUUCAUUGACAAUGCACCUCAUCACCCAGAGCUCUAAUGGAGAUGUACAAGGAGAAUCAUGUUGUUUUCAUGCCUGCUAACACAACAUCCAUUCUACAGCCCUUGGAUCAAAGAGUCAUUUGGCUUUCAAGUUCUGUCAUUUAAGAAAUACAUUUUGUAAGGCUAUAGCUGCCAUAGAUAGUAAUUUGAGUCUGGGAAAAGUAAAUUGAAAACCUUCUGGAGAUGAUUCAUCAUCUAUAUGCCAUUAAGAACACUCAUGAUUCAUGGGAGGAGAUCAAAAUAUCAAUAGUUACAGGAAUUUGGACAAAGUUUAUUUUAACACUGAUGGAUAACUUGAAGGGGGUUCAAGAUUUUAGUGGAAAAACUCACUGCAGAUGGAGUGAAAAUAGUAAGAGAACUAGAAUUAGAAGUGGAGCUUGAAGAUAUCACUGAAUUGCUGCAAUCUUAGGAUAAAACUUGAAUGGACAAGGUGUUGCUUAUUUUGGAUGAGCAAAGAAAAUGGUUUCUUGAGAUGGAAUCUAUUCCUGGUGAAGAUGCUGUGAACAUUGUUGAAGUGACAAUAAAGGAUUUAGAAUAUUGCCUAAAUUUAUUUGAUAAAGCACUGGAAGUUUUAGAGGAUAGACUCCAAUUGUGAAAGAAAUUCUACUGUGGGUAAAAUACUACUAAACAGUAUCACAUGCUACAGAGAAAUCUCUCGUGAAAGGAAGAGUCCAUUGAUAGGGCAAACUUUGUUGUCUUAUUUUAAGAAAUUGCCACAGCCACCCCAACAACCACUUCAACAACCACUACCCAGAUUAGUCUGCUGCCAUCAACAUUGAGGUUAGAUCCUCCACCAACAAAACAAUUAAAACUUACUGAAGGCUGAGAUGAUUGUUAGCAUCCUUUAGCAAUAAAGUAUUUUAAAAUUAAGAUAUGUACAUUUUAAAGACAUAAUGUUAUUGUCUUUAAAAAUUAAUAGACUAUAGUAUAGUGUAAACAUAACUUAUGAGAAACCAAAAGGUUCGAGUGACUCAUUUUAUUGCAAUAUUUGCUUUAUUGUGGUAGCCUGGAACCGAACCCACAAUAUCUUAGAGGUAUGCCGGUGUCUCACAAGUAGGGCUGGAAUUUCAGGGAAUUUGCUCUUAAAUACUACAUUCUACUAAUUGGUCAAAACAGUUACUUGUGUUUUAACUCUUCCAGUAUUAUUUUCAUUUCAUUAUUCAUUCUUAUAUACUUGGAAAUUUAUGUUACCAUUCUAGUUAUCCAUAUUACUUUUUGAGUCUGCAGUUGUUGCUGUUUUUGUUGUUUUUAGUCUGCAGUUUCUGUCUUAACAUUUCUGUUCUGAGUCUUUAAAUUUAAAUAAAAAUCCUGAUUGCCCAUUUUGCAUCUGAUGCUUAGCAUGUAGUCAUUAAUAUUUAUAUAGGCUACAUGGAUUAUAAUACCAUCUGUUUAUGGCUAUGAACAUAAAAGGUCUAAUGACUUUGAAGAAUACUUAAGAGCAAUAUCCAAGAAUUUGGGAGGUAGGUACUUUUGGAACCACUUGACAAAACUAUAAUAGAAGAUGCAGAGACAAGAUCACUUCUCUCUGCACAAGAGUAACGAAGACAAAAGACCAUCCUGGGAAUAUGAGAAGGUUUUUUUUUGUUCUUUUCAAGUACGCACGUGCCAGCUGAGAAAGCUGAAACAGAUAGACUAGAAGGGUAUAAUUCCAGGGUAUGACUGACAUUGUCUGUGAGAAUCUUUGGUCUUUUCUUUCACCAAAGCACAGGGGCCCCAAAUUUAACUUCUGGUGAAUUUUACAGGCACAAUGAUAUCAUUAAGCAAAUGAGAAUUAGAAAUCUUCAAGAUAUAAUUUUUAUAUGCAAGAGGAUAUAUUUGCUUUUGAAUGAGUGUUUUAGUAAAGAAAUGUAGUCAUAUAAUAUAAAAUGUAUGUAAAAGGAAUAGUCAUUCUGUUUGGAUUUAAGAAUUUGUAAAGUACUCAUAUAGAGUGACAUUGUAAAACAGAAUUAAUGAUAGUGUUUUUUAAAAACGGUAUAAAUUUUAACCAGAG
rnacentral:lncRNA from 10 species